AAGGUCUCUCCUACCCCGGGGCCUGUGCACCUGCUGUGCCUCUGCUUGGGGUGCUCUUCCCAGGGCUUGCCCACCUCCUCAGAGAGGCCUCCUGACCCCUGACACGGCCUUGCCCUUCACCUCUAUCGUCCUUUAGAACAGCCCCCACCUCCCGCACAUCAUGCAGUUGCAGGUUCAAUGGCUACUGCUUGUCCUCCAGACUCGUCUACUGGGGUUCAUCCCAUCUGAGCCAGGCCUGGCUUUUCUUGGCUGCAAGCUGAGAGCUGGGUCCAGGUCUGCUGAACCAAGGUUCUCCCAUCUUCCUUGAGCCAGUGACAAUCAGAGGCCUAUUUCUUUCAUGACGGAAGGCAGGAGAACAAGCAGCUCCCGGCUCACCCACCCAGCAGCUCAGCACCUGCGAAAUCCGUCUCCCGAUGCACACUUGCUAACCGCGUGGGUGUGAGCACAACGAUGGGAAACAGCGGAAGUCCCCGGAGUGCAGACUCAGGAGUGAACCUGCCUGAAGAGUGGCGUCUAACGCACACACUGUGGUCAGCUCCACCCCACUAUGGGUCCCGGGAAUAGGAGCAAGUAUGUAUUUUGCUUGCAGGGCAGGUGUUUCAUCCACAUUAUUGCAGGAACAGAUGAAUUUAAUUAAAAGAACACCACAGUGGGCACCUCUUCCAGGGAUGUCUCCCUCUAAGAACAUGACACUGAGAUGAUCAAGGUUCUAAAAGGGCGAUCAAAUUACUCUCCGAAAAUGAAACUGCUCAGACAGAAUGACAAUUAAAUUAAUAACAACCAAGACAAUGCCCAGAUUUCAUCUCCGCUCACAGCCCCUCCUGUGUGCUGUAUGAUCAGGUUCUUGGGGUGGCUCCAGAUACAGCAAACAGUCAGGAUUAAUCCACAAGAGUGAGCUGUCAGCAUGAGGUUCCCCUACAGUGGAGCUUGCCAAGGUCCGUGCCUCCCAGGGCACCCGUUCCAGGGCUAACAGAUGAAGCAUGGAAAUGCUGUGUGGAGUGAGCUAAGCAGCCGUUCUCAGGAGAAAACAGACAAAUCCUCCUGCAUCCUGGCAAACCAGCUUUGUGGCCUGUUUUAUGUCAUCUUUGCUGAGCUCCACCGGGUCACCCCUCCUGUUGGCUUUGUGAUACUGACAUUUCAGGCACUGGCACAGAUACAUUGGCCUUCCUGGCUGGGAUUUCACGGACGGAGUGAGCAGUGCUGGCUUGGAGGAGCCGUGGCGGCACAGGGCCUGUGCUCUCAGCUGAUCAACGCCUUGAUAGCCAGGAAAGGCCUGUCCUACCCCAAAGGGCCCUCGCAGCACUGUUUGAAAUUGCUCUUGCCAUCUUUGGAAUGGAUUCCUCAGUACAUUUCAGACUCGUUGUUGUGACUUUGGUUUUAAUCCAGGGACACACCGUGGCCAGUGGAGUGUCUCAACAGCAUCUAUGAUCGCUGUUUCCCAGAGACAGCAUCUCAGAUACCGAUGCUGAAAGAGAAACAGCAGCCUGUCCCCAAGUGGCAGGAAAUAGUCCAUUUUAAUGGCAAUUUCAUAAGUGGCAGAUGAUUUUUAUUGUAAUUUUCUGGUGAGCUGAUUAAGUGGAGGCAGAGUCAGUUCUGAGGCGUCAAUGUCUUUAACAAUUCGGGGAGACGGAGGCCACGCUCAGCAGGAACACUGAGUCCAUGGAAAACAGGCCCUGGGCCCGCUGAUGUGCAUAAUUCCACGUUUGCCCCUCAUGUAACCAGGAUGGUAAAUUACAGGUGUCAGAUAAUCACGCUCUGGAGUGGCUACUUGAGGAUGCGAUCGACCAAUUUAAGCUCCGUCUGACACAUGAUCAAUAGCCCGUGAUGCUGCAUGGAAUUGCAGGCACAGUGUCCAAACCUGCAGAGCAGUGGCUCCCAGCUGGGGCAACUUUGCCCCCCAGAGGACAUUUGGCAAUGUCUGGAUAUGUUUGCAAUUGUCACAACUAGGAAAGGAGGUACCCAUAGGAUACACAGGAAAGUCCUCACACAGUUGUAUCCUGCCCAGACUGUCCGUAGAGCCAGGGUGAGAUGCUCUGACAGAGCCACAGUGAACAUUGCAUUCCAUCAUCUGGGUAUCUCCAGGAAUGUAUGUAGCUGGAUGUCUGGCUUUUCAUCUGGGUUUCACGAGCCUCCUGCAGAACUGAAACCAUGUGCAAAUCAGUUCUCAUACUUGCUCUCCUGCCUCCUUCCUAUUGUAAUUUUUUCUUCCCACCUUUUUUAUUGUUACUAGAGAAAUGAUGAAGAAAAAGAAUAGGCUGGAGAGUCACUCAAAAUUUUGUUUUCCUCAAUUAAAAAGAAGUAAUUUAGAAG
ensembl:lncRNA LINC00494 long intergenic non-protein coding RNA 494